CGGCUACUCUGGGAGUGGUUAUAUUUAAAUUUCUCCAUUGCCCUUCAUAAAUUCUCUCGUUUUCACAUGUAAUAGUAAAAUGUAUGAUAUUUCUCCUUCGAUAUAUCUCCCAAAUGACGUAGUGUCGACCGAUAUACUAAUCGAAGGUAUAAAAGACGGCUUAAUUUUUCACCUAAUUCAUUCCAAUUUCAUUCUCCAGCUGAACAGUGACGGAGUUAUCAAUACUUUCAGCUCAAAACAUUACAUCAAAAUGAUGCAUUUACAUAUUGCAACAAUAUUCUUGGUAGCAUGUACGAUUUCAUGCAUCACUGCUGACUGUUACAUAGACAAUGGUUGUCCAAAUACAAAAACGAAGAAAAAAGAAUAUAGAAUCGGGCAAAGAUGGAGACCAAACUCAGAUCCAUGUUAUACAUGUAAAUGUGUAAAAUCAAAAGAAUAUGUGUUAGCAUGCCUUGAAGCCAUAAAUCAGAAACCGAAACUGUCGUUUAAAAAAAGUGAAUUGAUUGCAACUUUUGAAUCAACGAUAAGAUACGCUGCGGAUGAAGAAAUGGAAAUAAAUGAAAGAGAAGUUAAAACGAAACAAUGCAGUCCAAUUCAAGCACCAGUCUACAACUUGUCUACCAGCAAGUUUGAAUCAAUUACAUACAAAACAGUUUAUUAUUUCUACACAAGAAAAGAAUCAAGAUGUUGCAGUCGGUUAGUGCUAUUCGUAUAUUUAAGAUAACAACCAUGUUGAUUAUUGUACACUAUACUUCCUCUUCUGACAACUCCAUGAAACAAGGUACUUGCCACAAAGCGAAGCUGCUGAAUUUGAUUUUCGUAUUUCACUAACGUUCACGCGUCCUGUAAAGUCGUUAAAAUCGGCAGGUGUAGGUCAAAACUUGUCAAAAAGGAAAAUCCAAAAGAAAGAUGCAACAUGCCAAUGACAUUGAUUGGCUGAGGCGAUUCUUGAUUUUCAAUCACCAUCAACUACCAAAUUCAACGAGGCAAUAUACAUUUAGCUGUCAUAAUCACUGCCAGAAUCUUCGUAUUAUUUCAUGUCUAAUAACAAAUUACUGGUGAAUGUGUCUUAUGUUCCAAGAAAAGUGGACAAAAAUGUUGACACUUUUUCAUCUGUCGGGCAUGUUUUCGCACGCAAUAAGUAUAUUUCUAUAUCUUUUCAAGUUUAUGCAACAGUGCUAUUCUUUGUUCUUCUUUAUUAUUUUGUGUUACUAUUAUAGCCUGUUUUUUUUUUUGGUUUGGUGUUUAGGUAGGCCUACUUGAAACUGUUUCAAAUGUGCCUCAAUCGCUAAUUAGGAGAUUAGGUUUUUGUAAGAUUUUUUUUUUGUGGUAACUAUUUUGUCUGAACGCCGAGAAUAUACGAAACAUCCUGCAAAAAGUAAUGUUCAUGUGUACUUGAAAGAAAAAAAACGUUUGAGCAAAUUAAAGCUAAUAAAGAUAUAUCUGCUUGUUAGCGUGACUAUUCUACUUUGGUGUUAAUAAACAAUAUAUUCACCAACACGGAUAUUCUGUUAGUAAUAAAGGAAUAUUUGUUUUAUGGUCCCUUAGGACAUUUAAAUGCUAUGGUAGUCUAGUGAAAAAAUAUUUUAUUAUAAAUUGUCUCAUCGCAUCAAAUAUAUUUUUGAACUUGUA